CAUGCAAGUCGAGGGGCAACAGUACUGCUUCGGCGGUAGCUGGCGACCGGCGCACGGGUGAGUAACGCGUAUGGAACCUACCUGCAACAGGGGUAUAGCCUCCGGAAACGGAGGUUAAUCCCCCAUAAAGUUUACCUGUGGCCUCACAGGUAAAUUAAAGUUUCGGCGGUUGCAGAUGGCCAUGCGUAUCAUUAGUUAGUUGGUAAGAUAAAGGCUUACCAAGGCGACGAUGGUUAGGGGUCCUGAGAGGGUAGUCCCCCACACUGGUACUGAGACACGGACCAGACUCCUACGGGAGGCAGCAGUGAGGAAUAUUGGUCAAUGGGCGCUAGCCUGAACCAGCCAUGCCGCGUGCAGGAAGACAGCCCUAUGGGUUGUAAACUGCUUUUCUGCGGGAAGAAUUCCGUGUAUUUGUUACAGGGUUGACGGUACCGCAGGAAUAAGCAUCGGCUAACUCCGUGCCAGCAGCCGCGGUAAUACGGAGGAUGCAAGCGUUAUCCGGAUUCAUUGGGUUUAAAGGGUGCGCAGGCGGUGGAGCAAGUCAGUGGUGAAAGCCCGAAGCUCAACUUCGGGAUUGCCAUUGAAACUGUUUCACUUGAGUAUAGUCGAGGACGGCGGAAUGAGUUGUGUAGCGGUGAAAUGCAUAGAUAUAACUCAGAACACCGAUUGCGAAGGCAGCUGUCCAGACUAUAACUGACGCUGAUGCACGAAAGCGUGGGGAGCGAACAGGAUUAGAUACCCUGGUAGUCCACGCAGUAAACGAUGAUCACUCGUUGUUGGCUACAUGGUAGUCAGUGACUAAGGGAAACCGUUAAGUGAUCCACCUGGGGAGUACGUCGGCAACGAUGAAACUCAAAGGAAUUGACGGGGGCCCGCACAAGCGGAGGAACAUGUGGUUUAAUUCGAUGAUACGCGAGGAACCUUACCUGGGCUUAAAUGCAGGCUGCAUUCCCCCGAAAGGGGGAUUUCCUACGGGACCGCCUGCAAGGUGCUGCAUGGUUGUCGUCAGCUCGUGCCGUGAGGUGUCGGGUUAAGUCCCAUAACGAGCGCAACCCCUAUUGCUAGUUGCCAGCAUGUAAUGGUGGGGACUCUAGCGAGACUGCCGGUGUAAACCGGAGGAAGGUGGGGAUGACGUCAAAUCAGCACGGCCCUUACGUCCAGGGCUACACACGUGUUACAAUGGCCGGUACAGAGAGCAGCCACCUGGCGACAGGGUGCUAAUCUUGAAAGCCGGUCCCAGUUCGGAUCGAAGUCUGCAAUUCGACUUCGUGAAGGUGGAUUCGCUAGUAAUCGCGCAUCAGCCAUGGCGCGGUGAAUAAGUUCCCGGGCCUUGUACACACCGCCCGUCACAUGCAAGUCGAGGGGCAACAGUACUGCUUCGGCGGUAGCUGGCGACCGGCGCACGGGUGAGUAACGCGUAUGGAACCUACCUGCAACAGGGGUAUAGCCUCCGGAAACGGAGGUUAAUCCCCCAUAAAGUUUACCUGUGGCCUCACAGGUAAAUUAAAGUUUCGGCGGUUGCAGAUGGCCAUGCGUAUCAUUAGUUAGUUGGUAAGAUAAAGGCUUACCAAGGCGACGAUGGUUAGGGGUCCUGAGAGGGUAGUCCCCCACACUGGUACUGAGACACGGACCAGACUCCUACGGGAGGCAGCAGUGAGGAAUAUUGGUCAAUGGGCGCUAGCCUGAACCAGCCAUGCCGCGUGCAGGAAGACAGCCCUAUGGGUUGUAAACUGCUUUUCUGCGGGAAGAAUUCCGUGUAUUUGUUACAGGGUUGACGGUACCGCAGGAAUAAGCAUCGGCUAACUCCGUGCCAGCAGCCGCGGUAAUACGGAGGAUGCAAGCGUUAUCCGGAUUCAUUGGGUUUAAAGGGUGCGCAGGCGGUGGAGCAAGUCAGUGGUGAAAGCCCGAAGCUCAACUUCGGGAUUGCCAUUGAAACUGUUUCACUUGAGUAUAGUCGAGGACGGCGGAAUGAGUUGUGUAGCGGUGAAAUGCAUAGAUAUAACUCAGAACACCGAUUGCGAAGGCAGCUGUCCAGACUAUAACUGACGCUGAUGCACGAAAGCGUGGGGAGCGAACAGGAUUAGAUACCCUGGUAGUCCACGCAGUAAACGAUGAUCACUCGUUGUUGGCUACAUGGUAGUCAGUGACUAAGGGAAACCGUUAAGUGAUCCACCUGGGGAGUACGUCGGCAACGAUGAAACUCAAAGGAAUUGACGGGGGCCCGCACAAGCGGAGGAACAUGUGGUUUAAUUCGAUGAUACGCGAGGAACCUUACCUGGGCUUAAAUGCAGGCUGCAUUCCCCCGAAAGGGGGAUUUCCUACGGGACCGCCUGCAAGGUGCUGCAUGGUUGUCGUCAGCUCGUGCCGUGAGGUGUCGGGUUAAGUCCCAUAACGAGCGCAACCCCUAUUGCUAGUUGCCAGCAUGUAAUGGUGGGGACUCUAGCGAGACUGCCGGUGUAAACCGGAGGAAGGUGGGGAUGACGUCAAAUCAGCACGGCCCUUACGUCCAGGGCUACACACGUGUUACAAUGGCCGGUACAGAGAGCAGCCACCUGGCGACAGGGUGCUAAUCUUGAAAGCCGGUCCCAGUUCGGAUCGAAGUCUGCAAUUCGACUUCGUGAAGGUGGAUUCGCUAGUAAUCGCGCAUCAGCCAUGGCGCGGUGAAUAAGUUCCCGGGCCUUGUACACACCGCCCGUCA
rnacentral:rRNA from 1 species